rnacentral:rRNA from 1 species
GGUGAACGCUGGCGGCGUGCUUAAGACAUGCAAGUCGAACGGCAGUCUUCGGACUGUAGUGGCGCACGGGUGAGUAACGCGUAACUGACCUACCCCAGAGUCGCGGAUAACGAUUCGAAAGAAUCGCUAAUACGUGAUGUGCUGUCAGAUUGUGUUCUGCCAGUAAAGAUUGAUUGCUUUGGGAUGGGGUUGCGUUCCAUCAGCUAGUUGGUGGGGUAAAGGCCCACCAAGGCGACGACGGAUAGCCGGCCUGAGAGGGUGGCCGGCCACAGGGGCACUGAGACACGGGUCCCACUCCUACGGAGGCAGCAGUUAGGAAUCUUCCACAAUGGGCGAAAGCCUGAUGGAGCGACGCCGCGUGAGGGAUGAAGGUCUUCGGAUCGUAAACCUCUGAAUCAGGGACGAAAGACACUUCGGUGGGAUGACGGUACCUGAGUAAUAGCACCGGCUAACUCCGUGCCAGCCGCCGCCGUAAAAC